CAGUCGCCGCGGUAAUACGUAGGUGGCAAGCGUUGUCCGGAAUUAUUGGGCGUAAAGGGCUCGCAGGCGGUUUCUUAAGUCUGAUGUGAAAGCCCCCGGCUCAACCGGGGAGGGUCAUUGGAAACUGGGAAACUUGAGUGCAGAAGAGGAGAGUGGAAUUCCACGUGUAGCGGUGAAAUGCGUAGAGAUGUGGAGGAACACCAGUGGCGAAGGCGACUCUCUGGUCUGUAACUGACGCUGAGGAGCGAAAGCGUGGGGAGCGAACAGGAUUAGAUACCCGAGUAGUCCCUGUCUCUUAUAA
rnacentral:rRNA from 1 species